rnacentral:rRNA from 1 species
AUUGAACGCUGGCGGCAGGCUUAACACAUGCAAGUCGAGCGGGGGAAGGUAGCUUGCUACCGGACCUAGCGGCGGACGGGUGAGUAAUGCUUAGGAAUCUGCCUAUUAGUGGGGGACAACAUCUCGAAAGGGAUGCUAAUACCGCAUACGUCCUACGGGAGAAAGCAGGGGAUCUUCGGACCUUGCGCUAAUAGAUGAGCCGAAGUCGGAUUAGCGAGUUGGUGGGGUAAAGGCCUACCAAGGCUACGAUCUGUAGCGGGUCUGAGAGGAUGCUCCGCCACACUGGGGCUGAGACACGGCCCAGACUCCUACUGGAGGCAGCAGGGGGGAAUAUUGGACAAUGGGGGGAACCCUGAUCCAGCCAUGCCGCGUGUGUGAAGAAGGCCUUAUGGUUGUAAAGCACUUUAAGCGAGGAUGAGGCUACUCUAGUUAACACCUGGGGAUAGUGGACGUUACUCGCAGAAUAAGCACCGGCUAACUCUGUGCCAGCCGCCGCCGUAA